UUGAUUUUGAGUCCAUCAACCCGAAAAGGUCCAACUAGGUCAUCUUUAAUAAUACCAGCCCAUACCAGUACCACACCUGCACCUUGCUGGUGUCUGAGUCGAAUUGGAGCUCUCUGCCUUUA